UUUUGUAGAAAACUUGCUUCUUCCUCCGAGUCCGAGUCCGAUUCUGAAUCCAUUGCUUUCGCUCCCGAUUCGAAACCGACAGUUUGUGUCUCGAUGAGUAGAACCCC
rnacentral:ribozyme from 1 species